UACGUAGGGGGCAAGCGUUGUCCGGAUUUAUUGGGCGUAAAGAGCGUGUAGGCGGCUUGGUAGGUCCGCUGUGAAAACUCGAGGCUCAACCUCGAGAUGUCGGCGGAAACCACUUGGCUAGAGUCCGGAAGAGGAGAGUGGAAUUCCUGGUGUAGCGGUGAAAUGCGUAGAUAUCAGGAGGAACACCUGUGGCGAAAGCGGCUCACCGGACCACAACUGACGCUGAGGCGCGAAAGCUAGGGGAGCAAACAGG
rnacentral:rRNA from 1 species